GAUGAACGCUGGCUACAGGCUUAACACAUGCAAGUCGAGGGGAAACGACGGGGAAGCUUGCUUCCCCGGGCGUCGACCGGCGCACGGGUGAGUAACGCGUAUCCAACCUGCCUCUGACUGAGGGAUAACCCGUCGAAAGUCGGCCUAAUACCUCAUGGCAUCGUCUGCGGGCAUCCAACGACGAUUAAAGAUUUCAUCGGUCAGGGAUGGGGAUGCGUCUGAUUAGCUUGUUGGCGGGGUAACGGCCCACCAAGGCGACGAUCAGUAGGGGUUCUGAGAGGAAGGUCCCCCACAUUGGAACUGAGACACGGUCCAAACUCCUACGGGAGGCAGCAGUGAGGAAUAUUGGUCAAUGGGCGGGAGCCUGAACCAGCCAAGUAGCGUGCAGGAGGACGGCCCUAUGGGUUGUAAACUGCUUUUAUGCGGGGAUAAAGUGAGGGACGUGUCCCUCAUUGCAGGUACCGCAUGAAUAAGGACCGGCUAAUUCCGUG
rnacentral:rRNA from 1 species